CCUACGGGGUGCAGCAGUGGGGAAUAUUGGGCAAUGGGCGCAAGCCUGACCCAGCAACGCCGCGUGAAGGAAGAAGGCCCUCGGGUUGUAAACUUCUUUUAUUCGGGACGAAACAAAUGACGGUACCGAAUGAAUAAGCCACGGCUAACUACGUGCCAGCAGCCGCGGUAAUACGUAGGAUGCGAGCGUUAUCCGGAUUUAUUGGGUUUAAAGGGUGCGUAGGCGGGCAUUUAAGACGGCGGUCAAAUGUCGGGGCUCAACCCCGGCCUGCCGUCGGAACUGGGUGCCUUGAGUGGGCGAGAAGUAUGCGGAAUGCGUGGUGUAGCGGUGAAAUGCAUAGAUAUCACGCAGAACCCCGAUUGCGAAGGCAGCAUACCGGCGCCCUACUGACGCUGAGGCACGAAAGUGCGGGUAUCGAACAGGAUUAGAUACCCCAGUAGUC
rnacentral:rRNA from 1 species